CCCCCGUGCUGCAAUGCUAUUUAAUCCACACGACUCUCGGCAACGGAUAUCUCGGCUCUCGCAUCGAUGAAGAACGUAGCGAAAUGCGAUACCUGGUGUGAAUUGCAGAAUCCCGCGAACCAUCGAGUCUUUGAACGCAAGUUGCGCCCGAGGCCUUUCGGCUG
rnacentral:rRNA from 1 species